rnacentral:tRNA from 1 species
AAAGUUUUAAGUUAAAAUAAACUAUUAACCUUCAAAGUUAAUUAUACAAAAUAAUUUUGUAAACUUUA